GCAAGUCGCACGAGAACUCUUCUGCUUGCAGAAGAUAGUAAAGUGGCGCACGGGUGAGUAACGCGUGGGUAAUCUACCUCUAACUCGGGGAUAACAUCGCGAAAGUGAUGCUAAUACCGGAUAAAAUCUAAUUUGUUUCGGCAUUUUAGCUCAAAGGUGGCCUCUAUAUAUAAGCUACUGAUUGGAGAUGAGCCCGCGUACCAUUAGCUUGUUGGUAGGGUAAUGGCCUACCAAGGCUACGAUGGUUAGCUGGUCUGAGAGGAUGAUC
rnacentral:rRNA from 1 species